rnacentral:rRNA from 1 species
UACGUAGGUGGCAAGCGUUGUCCGGAUUUACUGGGCGUAAAGAGCUCGUAGGCGGUUCGAUAAGUCGGACGUGAAAUCUCCACGCUCAACGUGGAGGGGCCGUUCGAUACUGUCGUGACUCGAGUCCGGUAGGGGAGUGUGGAAUUCCCGGUGUAGCGGUGAAAUGCGCAGAUAUCAGGAGGAACACCGGUGGCGAAGGCGGUUCUCUGGGCCUGUACUGACGCUGAGGAACGAAAGCGUGGGGAGCGAACAGG